rnacentral:rRNA from 1 species
UGCGUAGGAUGCAAGCGUUGUCCGGAUUUACUGGGCGUAAAGCGCGCGCAGGCGGCAAGGUAAGUAAGGUGUGAAAUCUGUCGGCUCAACCGGGAGGGUGCACUUUAGACUGCUUUGCUUGAGGUCGGCAGAGGGAAGUGGAAUUUCGGGUGUAGCGGUGAAAUGCGUAGAUAUCGGGAGGAACACCAGUGGCGAAGGCGACUACCUGGCCUGUUCUUGACGCUGAGGCGCGAAAGCUAGGGGAGCAAACGGG